rnacentral:misc_RNA from 1 species
GUAUUACAUAUUUACGUUUCAAUUCCCCUCUUGAAAUAAAGGCUUAGUCAAAAAGGAAAGUAUCAGUUUGGGAUGGAGGGAGUACAAAUGUUUACUACUGUCUUUGACCAUUCAAAAGUACGUUUACAUUGCCCAAAGUUCUAUGAAAGCUCUUCAACUAUAAUAAGCUUAAGCAUUAGAGGGAAGACCAAAAAGGAUGUCUUAGAAGUUGGGAUGAU